rnacentral:rRNA from 1 species
GAUGAACGCUGGCGGCGUGCCUAAUACAUGCAAGUCGAGCGAACAGACGAGGAGCUUGCUCCUCUGACGUUAGCGGCGGACGGGUGAGUAACACGUGGAUAACCUACCUAUAAGACUGGGAUAACUUCGGGAAACCGGAGCUAAUACCGGAUAAUAUAUUGAACCGCAUGGUUCAAUAGUGAAAGACGGUUUUGCUGUCACUUAUAGAUGGAUCCGCGCCGCAUUAGCUAGUUGGUAAGGUAACGGCUUACCAAGGCAACGAUGCGUAGCCGACCUGAGAGGGUGAUCGGCCACACUGGAACUGAGACACGGUCCAGACUCCUACGGGAGGCAGCAGUAGGGAAUCUUCCGCAAAGGGCGAAAGCUUGACGGAGCAACGCCGCGUGAGUGAUGAAGGUCUUCGGAUCGUAAAACUCUGUUAUUAGGGAAGAACAAAUGUGUAAGUAACUAUGCACGUCUUGACGGUACCUAGUCAGAAAGCCACGGCUAACUACGUG